rnacentral:piRNA from 1 species
UCAUUUAAAUUUCUGAUUUGACGAGGGUGU